rnacentral:rRNA from 1 species
ACGGGGGGCAGCAGGCGCGAAACCUUUAGGAUAAACGAAAGUGUGAUAGGGGGAUACUCAGUGCUUACGGUUAUGCCGUAGGCUUUUGUCGAUCGUAAACAGAUCGGAGAAGAAGUGGUGGGUAAGACCGGUGCCAGCAGCCGCGGUAA